UACGUAGGGUGCGAGCGUUAAUCGGAAUACUGGGCGUAAAGCGUGCGCAGGCGGUCAUGCAAGACAGAUGUGAAAUCCCCGGGCUCAACCUGGGAAUUGCAUUUGUGACUGCAUGGCUGGAGUGCGGCAGAGGGGGGAUGGAAUUCCGCGUGUAGCAGUGAAAUGCGUAGAUAUGCGGAGGAACACCGAUGGCGAAGGCAAUCCCCUGGGCCUGCACUGACGCUCAUGCACGAAGCGUGG
rnacentral:rRNA from 1 species